GAUGAACGCUGGCGGCGUGCCUAAUACAUGCAAGUCGAGCGAACAGACGAGGAGCUUGCUCCUUUGACGUUAGCGGCGGACGGGUGAGUAACACGUGGGUAACCUACCUAUAAGACUGGGAUAACUUCGGGAAACCGGAGCUAAUACCGGAUAAUAUUUCGAACCGCAUGGUUCGAUAGUGAAAGAUGGCUUUGCUAUCACUUAUAGAUGGACCUGCGCCGUAUUAGCUAGUUGGUAAGGUAACGGCUUACCAAGGCAACGAUACGUAGCCGACCUGAGAGAGUGAUCGGCCACACUGGAACUGAGACACGGUCCAGACUCCUACGGGAGGCAGCAGUAGGGAAUCUUCCGCAAUGGGCGAAAGCCUGACGGAGCAACGCCGCGUGAGUGAUGAAGGUCUUCGGAUCGUAAAACUCUGUUAUUAGGGAAGAACAAACGUGUAAGUAACUGUGCACGUCUUGACGGUACCUAAUCAGAAAGCCACGGCUAACUACGUG
rnacentral:rRNA from 1 species